ACUUUUUUGAGAGGAAAUUCCAGAUCUCAUGCUUCAGAAGUAACAAAAUACACAAUACUAUUUCGAGAGGAAAUUCUCAGCAUGCCAACCCAUCAACAAGAAUACCAACACAUUUGGUUCCUUGCAUGGGUUUAAAAAGUAGAACUAACUGGAAGUGGUAUGCUGUU